rnacentral:misc_RNA from 1 species
UUAAAAUAAUCGCACGAGGGAAUUUUGUUUGGUAAUAACAGAAAAAUCACGAUCAAUAAAUGGAAGGCGAAAAAAAUCAACGAUCUAAUAAAAAACUUAAUCUUUGUAAAAAAUGCAAAAAGUUAAAAAAAGGAAAGUUUUGCAACAAAUGUGGAAGUUCUUUAGAGGAAAUUAAAAAUCACGAUGGAGAAAGUUUAUCAAAUACUGUAGCUGACACAGAUGUUAAAAAGGAUGGCAUUUCUGCUCCUGAACAAAAGUCUUGUACGGAAAUCAACAAUUCUGGAUUGGAUGUAGUUAGAAAUGAAGAAAACCAAAGUUUACCUAAAAAUACCAAUCAAAUGAAUGGGGAAUACAGUAGUUGUUCAGUUGAUGGGUCUGAAAGUUUUGAUGGUAUUUCUGUUUCUGAACAAAAGAUGUGUAUAGAUCUAAUCAGUUCUGGAUUGGAUGUUGUUAGAAGUGAAGAAAAUCAAACUUUAUCUCAAAAUCACAAUCUAAAAAAUGAUGAAAAUAAUAAUUCCACAGUAGAUAGGAUAGAAAAUUCUGAUGUUUCUGAACAAAAAUCUUGUAUGGAAGUCAACAAUUCUGGAUUGGAUGUAGUUAAAAGCAAAGAAAAUCAAAGUUUACCUAAAAAUAGAAAUCUAAUGAAUGAUGAAAUUAACAAUUCUUUAGCUGAUACAUCAGAAAGUCCUGAUGGUAUUUCUGUUCCUGAACAAAAGUCUUGUGCGGAAGUCAAAAAUUCUGGAUUGGAUGUAGUUAAAAGUGAAGAAAAUCAAAGUUUAUCUAAGAAUAACAUUAUAAUGAAUGAUGGAAAAAACAGUUCUUCAGAUGACAGAUUGGAAACUUCUGAUGGUAUUUCUGCUUUUGAACAAAAGACGUGUAUAGAAGUCAACACUUCUGGAUUGGAUUUUGUUAGAAGUGAAGAAAAUCAAACUUUACCUCAAAAUCACAAUUUAAAAAAUGAUGAAAACAAUAAUUCAAUAGUAGAUAGGAUGGAAAAUUCUGAUGGUAUUUCUGUUCCUGAACAAAAGCCUUGUAUGGAAGUCAGCAAUUCUGGAUUGGAUGAAGUUAAAAACAAAGAAAAUCAAAAUUUAUCUAAAAAUAGCAAUCCAAAGAAUGAUGAAAACAUUAGUUUUUCAGAUAAUAGAUCUGAAAGUUCUAGUGAUUUGCUGCAUAAUAAAGACAAUUUAUCUAUUGAACAUAAAUCUGAAAUUGAAGCAGUGAAAAAUGAAAUGAAAAACAAAACAGUUUCGCUUGACAAUAGUAAAAAUAAUAUUUCAGAAGUGACUCAAAUGUGUAUUUCACCUCAGGACAACAAUUAUAAAGAAGAACACAAGAAUGAGCUACCGAGUGAAGGAUCAAGUAGUUGUGAUAGAUCUUUUGGUAAUAAAGACAAUGACCAAUUAGCACAGCAUAAUCUUUCUUUUGGGGGCAAAAAAGUUGAUACUCAAUGUUCUGAAAGUAGAUCUUCAUCUUGCUUGAACAAAAAGGAUACAGAUGUUAAUAAACCUACAAAAACUACAAUGGAACUUAGAUCAACAAAUAAACAGAAAUCAGAUGAUACAGGCAGCACACACAAAGCUAGCUAUGCAGACCAAGCUAAAAAAAAUCUGUCAAAUCAAGAAGGAGUAGUUAAGUAUACUGUGUGGAACAGCAUCAUUUACAUCAAGUUUUUUUAUAUAUUACAAAAGCGUGUUGAAAAUCUUGGUAUUUCUUUUGGAAACGAUUGUCUUGGUGGAUGGAAAGGUGUUGGUGUAAAAAUGAUACCACUUAGUAAUGACUCAGAAGGAGUAAUUUACACAGGUGAUUUAAAGAUAAAUAAAGAAUGUAUUCAAACUCCUUUGGAAUAUAAAUAUGUUAUACAAGGUAAACAAAAAACUUGGGAAUUUCUACAUUUGGCUGGCUCACUGAUAAAUUCUAACAGAGUUUUAAAAGUUUCAUUGGAUGACAUAGAGCUAGGUUUAAUCUAUCAAGUUGAUGACUGCUUUUUGCAUGAAAAUCGUGAAAACAAUUUGGGUUUCAUUAGUUGGGUAAAAUCAAAAAUUCUGGGCAAUGAUGACCGUUUUACUUUAUUUCAAGUUCUAUUUAAAAGAUAUUUAAAUUUGUUGAACAAUAAUCCAGACAUGGACAUAGUUCACAAAACAAUGUUUAUUCGAGGUCUUUAUUCUGGAUUUUAUGAUGCUUAUACAGCAAAAAAUGGAGACUUGAGUUUAUGGCUAAAAUUAGAUAAUCAUUUUGAACCACUUAGGGAAUUAUUAGUUUAUUUGGAAGGACAAGUGAAAAAAGAUUCAUAUAAUGAUAUUGAAACUAUAAGUUCCAACUUAUCUUUGCUGGUAAUUUUUUACAAAAAUGAUCAUUUGAUAAAGCAAAUCAAUAUGAAUUUUCUCUGCUCUGCAUUCAAUAAUUUAUCAUUAGAAAACAAAAAUUAUGAUUGUGAUUCUUUAUCAACAAUGUUGAAAGAAUUUUUUUCACCCAAGUAUUUGAGUAUGAUAAAGAAAUCACUUGAAUCUUUGCUAGAAUAUUGGUUUUCAAAAUCAGAUUUUAUCAACAAUGAUAUGGUUCAUGUUUGGUGUUAUGCAGUUGUUAUGGUACAUAUUCUUUCAGAAGAAAACAAGAAUUACUUGAAGUUGCAAGAUUUUGACAAAUCUAAUUGUGGACUACCCGCAUAUUUUAUAAAAAUGCAAAAAAGGAAAUUGAUUUUAGAAACUUUUAAUAAUUUGAAUAAAAUCCAAAUCAGCUUGAAAAAAGAUCGUUUACUGCAAAGAGGCCUUGUUUAUUUAAUGGAACCACAAUGCUUUCAUUAUGCAUUAAAUACUGGAUAUUUUAAUGAACGACUUCUAAUUAAUAUGAUAACCUUCCGUCUUUCAUCUGCAAAUCAAAAAGAGCUGAAUGAAUUUCAAAAUUUUUUAAAUGGAUUGAUGACAAACAUUCCAAAAGAAGAAAAAAAAAGAGCACAUGUAGUUGAAGCGAUGUUUAAUAUGCUCUUAAAGGUUUUUGAAAAGAUUAAGCUUGCCAAUUACAGUUUCAGUUUUGUAUCAAUUAUCUUAAAUUGUAUUGAAACAUUUACCAAAUCCAUUGAUCAGAAAGACACACUUCUAGCUCUUCAUAAAGAAACUUCGAAAACUUUGUCAACUAUAAAAUCAAUUCUACCUGAUUAUUUUGUUAAGUGGGAUGAUAAAGAAAUUAUACCUACACAACUUAAGUUAAUGCAAAUCUUAUCUCGUUUCCAAGUUAAUGGAAAAAGGUAUUUCCAAGAAGAUUUAGUUAAUAUCCUUCAAUCAAAAUUAAGACAAACUGAUAAUAUGCUAUUGUUCAAGUUUUAUUGUGAGCUUGAUAUAAAGCUUUAUGAUGAAGAAAUUGCAUCAGAGUUGAGUAGAUAUUUUUUUUUAACAAUAGAUGCACUAAUAAAUCAGGCUGAUUUUUUAAACUUGCUACCAUCUGUAUCACAAAACUACUGUACAACUCUACUAACUAAGUAUAUUUCAAACAAAUGGUGUGAUCUUCAAAGCACAGAAGAUAAGUUAAACUUUUGCUUAGAUUGGCAACCUUUCAAAGUAUUUUUACAGGUUAUAAAAAAUGUAACCAAUGAAGAUGCAGCUCAAGUUAUCAAUGAUUAUAUAUCUGUAAUGCAAAAUUUGUGCAAAAACAUUGAGGAUGGAAAUAUUAGAAUUUCAUUAUUUUCUUACUUGUCUAAGAAAAAAAUAACAUUGUUUGAACUUACUAAAGUUUUUGGCUUUGACACUUGUGAAAACAUUGAAACUUAUUUUGCUGCAAGAGUGACACAAAUGAAUGUUUUUAACAGAGUCUGUGAUACUGUCAAAUAUACUUUACAGAUGUUUAAACAAGUUUUUCCUAAUAUAGAAAUGAAUAAAGUUGUUUUAGAAGAAAAACUUCAGCUAUCUGACAUUUUGUUAAAAGAUGUUUUUAAAGAAAUGUUAAAUAAUGAUCAAUUCAAUGAAGAAGAAAGUGAGGAAGAAAAAAUUAUUUAUAUACAUGAAAAUGAUAGGGUUUCUUAUGAAAAACAAGCUGAUGAAGAAAUAAAUGACUGUGAUGUAGCUAACAAAGAAUUGAGUGAAAAUGUAAGUAACAGUGAUGCAGAUAACAAUGAAUUAAGUGAUGAAGAGGUAAGUGACAAUGAUGUAAGUAAUGAAGAAUUAGGCGAUGAAGAGGUAAGUGACAACAAUGUAAAUAAUGAAGAAUUAGGCGAUGAAGAGGUAAGUGACAACGAUGUAAGUAAUGAAGAAUCAAGUGAUGAAGAUGUAAGUGACAAUGAAAUAAGUAAUGAAGAAUUAAGUGAUGAAGAUGUUAGUGACAAUGAUAUAAGUAACAAAGAAUCAAAUGAUGAAGAUUUAAGUGACAAAGAAGUAGUAAAUGAAGAAUUAAGCUAUGAAUAUAUUGACCAAAAUUUAGCUGAUAAAGAAUUAAGUGACCGAGAUGUGACUGAUGAUUAUAUAAUCGAGAAAGAACAAGUUAACUAUGAUAUAUAUCAUAGUAUAUUGAGUCAUAGUAAGCCUAGUAUGGCUUCAAAAAAAAAGUCAUACAAUGAAAUUCUGGUUGACAAAGCAUGCGAUUUUUUUACAGUUUCUCGUUUUUGGUUUAAUUACAGUUCAGAAGUAAUGAACCACAACUUAGCAAGUAACCUCUUAUUCCAAAAAAAACUUGAAUUUUUUUUAAUGUCAUAUUCAAAUUCAACAUUUGAUUUACAUUCCGAUUUGUUAAUAAGACUUGUUUAUAUUCCAAUAAAUGAAGAUUUAACUGCAUAUGUGCAAAGUGUUUUAUCUUGCAAAAUAAGUUUGUCAGAUCUAUCCACUGUAAUCCCAAAUUAUAAAGUUGAAGUUUACACUGAGGAGUUAAAAAACAUUUCAGAGUAUUUACAUCUUAAUUUUAGUAGAGAUAAGUUUGACAGAAGCAUGGCUAAGAUUAAAAGUGUUUUCUUGAUGAAGAAGUAUUAUGAUGUUGCAUCAAAUGCAUUUCAAGUUAAAGAACAGCUUAAACUUAAAGGAGAUUUUAGUGCUCUUCAAUGCAUUAUGCGACCAGUAAAUGAGUUUGAAGAAUUAGAAGAUGUAACUUCCUGUGAAAAUAAUGAGUUUUUGUUUCAAACAUUAACACCUACUAUUAAUGAAAUAUUUAAGUCUAUUUCUUCAUGUAUGCUCUUCUUCACCUGGAUAAGCGAUAACUUAAAAACUCCAAAGGAAGUGAAGGUUUUUGUUGAAAUUAUGUCAACAGCUGCAGGUGAAACCGAUUAUGAUGUUGAUAGAGUAAAAUGUUUUGAAGCUUGUUGUCUCGCUUUUAAUGAUGUCAUAUUCAACUUGAAUAACAAAUCGGGAUUUAAAGAACUAUUACAAACUUGUCAACAAAUAGAGGAAAAAAUGAAAAAUGAUCCAAACAUAAUUAAGAAACUAAUUGAUACAAAUAACAAUAUCGAGUGGUUUAUAAAUGCACAGAAAUCUCAAGGCUCAGUGGCUACAAAAACUAUAAUGGAAGCGCAAACAGCCAAUCGAAAUGGAUGUUUUAUUAUUGGGAAUCAUGGAAACAACAAUGGUGACUUUAUUGUAACUAAAUUAUCUGAUGUUGUUAAAUUUGAAAUACGUAACUCCACAGAGAAGGUUUACACUCCUAAAACAUAUACUUUGGAGGAAGUAAAUGAUUUACAAAGUCGCUUGAUGCUGCUUGGAGGUGAUAUUGGAGGAACCUCUUCAUUAGAUCAACAAAAAGAAAAAGAUUACUUUAUUGAGGUUGUUGAAGUCAUUAUGCGAUUGGGUCAUGCUUAUAUGAUGCUUUGUGAUGCUGGUGAUGUCAACUACAUUAAUUGGAAAAAAACCUUCUUAUGUAAUAUAGAAUCUGAUAAAGAAAAUUUAUUAGCUGAUUUAAGAAUUGAAACUGAAAAAAUAGAAAAAAAACUGACUGAAUGGAAUAACAUUUUAAAAAGUAUUCGUUCGGUAAAUCCUGUUAUAAAUCAUUUUACCGUAAGACAAUGUCUUUUUCUGCAGAAGCAUUUGUAUUUGCUGUCCAAAGAUUCAAAAUAUUGUAAUAAACUGCCAUCACAAUUUUAUAGUCUUUUAAAAUUUUUUGGCCAUGAUGUCACUUCUAGCAAUAUUAAGAAUGCUUUUAGCUUGUCACAUUCUUUAUUGGGAAAGAAUCAGUCUACUAAGGAUGAUUGGAAAAAAGUUAAAAGUCAAUCUAACUUUGAGGAAAUGACAGCAAUUGAAAUUCAAAAUAUAGUUAAUUUGCUGCAAGAUGAAUACGAUAUUUCUGAAACUGUUGCAUGGGCAGCGAUCUUGAAUGUUUUUCCAUAUCGUGAAGGUAAAGCAAUAUUAUGGUGUAAUAAACAAAGUCCUGAUGAUGAUCAAAUCAUUGAAUUUGAAUUAGAAGCUCGUAAGCGUUAUGAACAGCUUGUAAAUUUAAAUAAUUGUGAUGAAGUACUAAGUGGAAAUGGGAACAUUAUUGAAAAUGAAACAUAUAUAUCACUUGAGGAGCUUGGUUGUUUUUUUAAAGAAUAUAUAGAAAUUAUAAAGUUUCAGCAAGCUAAAAGAAUUAUUCCAAAAUAUAUAAAUAAAGACAAACCAAGUUUAUUUAUUUUGCCACGUGAUGAAAUCCUCUAUGCACUUCUAAAUAUUUAUCUUUAUGAUAGCGGUUCAUUCCCAUCAUCAGAAGAAGUUCUGCUUUGUGACAACUCUGUUUCUAUUGAAGAAAUUGAACUCCUUAUUUUACGUGCUUAUCAUAAUAAAGAUGGUCUUUACUGCUUAGUUAUUGACGACAGCUUACAAUAUGAAGUUUGUGAAAAAGCUUACAAUUUUUUGCAGGAAACCAUGAAGUUAGAAAAUAUGAGUCCUCUAAUAGUUUUUUGUAGUUCAGAGAGCCAGAAUGAAUCAUAUUUUGCAACAGCACUUGAAAAUUAUAAAAUAAAAAUACCAAUUUGCAUAAAGAGAGAAAAUAUAUGCAAAAAAAUACUGGAUGGUUUAGAAAAAAAACUGGUCGAUAAAAACAUAGGUAUUCAUCUCAAUGGAUCAAUAUACAAAGCUCUUGUGGUUCAAUCAAAAAAAAGUGGAAUGGGAAAGUCAUUUUGUGUGGAAAAAUGUGGUGACCAGCUAUCAAUUCAGUUAGAUUCAUAUUACCAAAGAAUGCCAAUGGUUGAAAAAAAGGCUUCUAUGGUAACAAUACCUGUUCACGGAACAACUGUCAAUGUAAACAGUAUUGUAGAAGCAUUGUUAGAGUUUGAUGAAAUUCCUAAUUUACGUUUUCCAAGAUUGUAUCAUUUUGAUAUAAAUCCGAUGGUUAAAGAAGGAUUAGAUUCAUUUCUUUUCAAUUUGGUGAUUCUGGGAUCUUUAAAAACAAGUACUGGAAAACUGUGGAGGAUGAACGAUAAUGAUACAUGUAUCAUUGAGAUCACCAUUGAUCAUACUGAAGGACAUCUUCAUAGCGACACAAGUAAAUCUCCUGAAGGUGUUGUUAUUAAUAUGUUACCAUUUGUUACCUGUCUAUCUCCUUGUGAAGUUUUAAAAUCACUGUCUGAUCAAACUACCUUGACUCAAGGUGAAAUAAAUUUUGAUUUAUGGUAUGAUACUAAAGAAUAUUUAAAAAGUUCUACUCAGCGGGUUUGUCAAUACUUGAAUAUAUAUGAUGGAAAAAUUGUUCAACCACAAAUUUCUCAACACCGAACACCGAACAGUUCCGAACACCGAACAGUUUUGUCUCCGAGUAGAAGAGCAAUAUCUCCCAUAAAAAAAGAAGUUUCUAGAAGAUAUCUUUCAGAAGCUUAUAUUCAUCAAACUUUGGACAAUUUUGUGUAUAAUAGUUCUCAACCAAAUAUGACCCUAAGUGAUUGCUUACAGAUAUUAUUGAAAUAUUGUGGCGUAAGAGAUCCAUGUUGGAGUGAGUUAAGGAAUUUUGUUCACUUUUUCAAUUCACAGCUUAUUGACUGUGAAAACUCUGUGUUUACAAGUGCAGUUUGUGCAAAUGACUUGCGAGGUUUCAAGCAUUUUGUUGUUAAAUUUUUGUUGGAGAUGUCACAGGAUUUUUCAACACAUUCACUAUCUUAUGAUACUUUGGUUAACAACCCCUUUAUGGUCCAACUGAAGCGACAUUGGGAACAUAGUUUACACCCAUAUUUAUUUUUCAACCAAGACCACGCAACAAUGACAUUCUUUGGAUUUAAUAUUGACUAUAGAGGUAAUUUGUUUGACCCUGAGACAAGAUUGAUUAUUAAGGAAAAUAUUAUGUCACCAGAACUUUACAAUGACAUUAAUAGACAGAUGGCAGGGUGCUUAAACACUAAUUACAAUGAUUUGAAGAGAAAACAAAAACUGGAAUUAAUCUGUCGAGUGUUGGGCGUACCAACAUUUGAUCCAGAUCCUACAUAUGAGUUAACUGUGGAUAAUUUAAAAAAGAUUUUGGCAAUUCACAUGCGAUUGAGAUGUAUCAUACCUGUCAUAAUGAUGGGAGAGACUGGGUGUGGUAAAACAAAGUUAAUAAAGUUUAUGUCUGCACUGCAAGCUGGAAGUCCAAACAUAAGAAACAUGCUGCUAGUGAAGGUUCAUGGUGGUGUAACUCAUCAAGACAUACUUAUGAGAAUUGAACAAGCGAAGCGUUUGGCAAAGAAAAACUUUGAUAAUUAUAUGAUAAAUACUAUUUUAUUUUUUGAUGAAGCAAACACAUCUGAUGCGAUUGGACUUAUCAAAGAAAUAAUGGUAGAUAAAAGAGCUGAUGGUAAACCAUUAGGGCUAGCUGAGUGUGGGCUUGAAAUAAUUGCUGCUUGUAAUCCAUACAGAAAGCAUACAAGAACAAUGAUUGAGAAGUUAGAAUCAGCUGGUUUAGGUUAUCAUGUUAAAUCUCCUUAUGAAAAGAUUGGAGAUAUUCCUUUGAGACAGUUGGUGUAUCGUGUGCAUCCGUUACCAAAAAGCAUGGUUCCUCUUGUUUGGGAUUUCGGUCAGUUAAACCCAGAAACAGAAAAAACAUAUGCAAGGCAAAUUAUAAUGCGUUAUAUCAAGCAGAAAGCUUUGCCAGAUGAACCAAUAUUUUUUAAACUUAUCAUCAAUGUCCUUGCAGAAUCGCAAGUGUAUAUGAGGAAAAAAGAGGAUGAAUGUCAUUUUGUUAGCCUUAGAGAUGUGGAAAGAGUUUUAAUGGCAACCUCAUGGUUUUAUAGAAAAAUAAAUAUUCUACUACAUAACAUGGAUUCUAAUAUAUCUGACAUGUCUGAAGUCGAAAAGAUGUGCUUGUCAUUAAUUUAUGCUUUACAUGUUUGCUACAUUGCAAAGUUAGAAGAUAGAGAUUCAUAUAGAAAAAACAUCUCUAAGUAUUUUAAAGCAUCAGGUUUUGCAUGUGAUGCAAACAGAAUUAAAGAAGAAGUUUACAGACUCCAAAAAAGUUUUUUGAAGGGUAUUGAUCUUGAAGAAAAUAUAGCACAAAAUGAAGCCUUAUGUGAGAAUGUUUUUAUGAUGGUAAUUUGCAUUGAGUUACGUAUCCCCUUAUUCGUUGUUGGCAAACCUGGAAGCUCAAAAUCUUUAGCAAAAUCAAUAGUACAAGAUAGUAUGCAAGGAAAAAUGUCAAAAUCUGUUCUCUUUAAAGAAUUCAAACAGAUUUUUAUGCUGUCAUAUCAAUGCAGUCCUCUGUCUACAGCAGAAAGAAUAAUAAAUACAUUCAGACAAUGUAGCAGAUUUCAAGUAGAAAAAGAUUUAGACACUUUUGCGUCAGUUGUAGUUCUGGAUGAAGUUGGUCUUGCAGAAGAUUCACCUAGGAUGCCGCUGAAAGCAUUACAUUCAUUGUUAGAAGAUGGUACUGAUGGUUCUGAAGAUCUUACAGCUGAUGGCUCUGAAUUCAAGGAUAAAAGAGUGGCUUUUAUUGGCAUCUCCAAUUGGUCUCUUGAUCCUGCAAAAAUGAAUCGAGGUAUAAUGUUGUACAGAGGACAACCUAGUGUUGAUGAGCUUGUUCUUACUGCAAGAGAUAUAUGUUCUGGGGAUAAAGUGAUAUGUGGAAAAAUUGCUAUGCUAUUUGAACCUUUGACAAAAGGAUACUUCAAGGUGUAUGAAGAACAAAAUGAAUGCAAAGUGUUAAUAAAUUGUAAAAAAGAAGAAUUUUUUGGACUGAGAGAUUUUUACAGUUUAAUCAAGCUGGUUUUUUGUUAUGCUCGAAAACUUAAAGAUAGUCCUUCCAUCAGUGAUAUUAAAUAUGCUGUUAAAAGAAACUUUAGUGGUCUUCAGGAAGUUAAUACUUGGAAAAUAUUCAAGUCAUUUUUGCCACAAAAUUUAUCCAAGGCUGAAAGAACCUUUGAUGUAUUAAGCAUGAUAAAAGACAGUAUUGCAGAUCAAUGUCCGUGUUAUGUUGUAAGAGGAAAAAAUGCAAAGAGACAUUGUCUGAGCUCUCGCUAUCUUCUUCUAAUGACUGAAGACUUUUCUGCUCUUCCUAUUAUUGAUAGUCUAUAUGAAAAAGAAAAAUACAAAAGCUGUAUUAUUUUUGGAAGUAGUUUUCCAAAGGACCAAGAGUUUACCCAGGUGUGCCGUGACAUUAACAGAAUUAAAAUUUGCAUGGAGACUGGUACUAAAGUUGUUCUACUUAACAUGGAAAAUUUAUAUGAAAGUCUUUAUGAUGCACUAAAUCAGUAUUAUGUAUCACUUGGAGGAGAAAAUUAUGUGGAUUUAGGCAUUGGAACUCACAGAGUUAAAUGCAGAGUACAUGAAGGUUUUCGGUUGAUAGUAAUUGCAGAUAGAGCUAAUGUUUAUAAUACUUUUCCGAUACCUCUAAUAAAUAGACUGGAGAAACACUUUUUAACAUUAUCAAAUGGAAUGCCACCAGACAAAUUAAAAGUUGUAGAAAAACUUAAAGAAUGGGCAACUCAUUUUUCGUGUGUUAAAUCUACAACUCACGAGUUCAGACCUUCAGAUUCUUUUAUUGGAUAUACUGAAGAUACAUGUGCAUCUAUUGUUCUUAAACUUUCGAAAAUAUACAAUGAUUCUGUUGAGAUAUUCGAAGAAGGCUGCAAGUUAUUGUUGAAACUAGCUACACCUGAUUCAUUAUCACGUGUUAUGAAGUCUCCUUUAAAAAAUCAAUUUGGAUUCAUUCAAAAAAUAUUUUAUGAGCAGUUUCAUAGUUCUUUGAUUUCCUUUCUUUAUGCUGAACUUGGUAAUGAAGAUAGCAAGUUUAUGCAGGUGACUACAUUUUCAAAGCUGUUAUCGCCGAUUCAAAAAGAAAGUUUAACUCUAGAGUUAAUUGGUUUUAAAGUUGAAAUGGCUUCCUUAAUGCAAUUUGAAACUGAACGGUUGUUUAGGGAAUUCAUCAGAGUUUCAUUCAAUUCUGCAGACAGUAAUGAGAGAACUCUUAUUAUUAUUCAAGUUAAUAAUGCGCAAGAAAGAAAAAAGUUAAUUGCAUGUGCACAAUAUAUUUGUAAAGAAAUGCGUGAACAAUUUAAAGUAAAGAAGAUUUCUAUUCUUUUUAUUUUGCAACUGAAUUAUAAAUCUAAUUGCUUAAACUUAUUGAGUUCUUUAUCAUUUUGGGACUGUUCUCAUAUUGAUGAACUUUGCUGUUCAAAUAUGCCUUCUUUUAUUAAACAUACUGGUAAAUCAUUGUAUGAUAUUUUCUGCAAUGUUGAUGGUGAAGAAAAAUCAAAACUGAUUGGGCUGAUUAUUGGAUCUAUUCAAAUGACCACUCGUCAAAUAAGUGAAAGAAAGAAAUUGAGUGUUGAUGAAGUCUCUGAAAGGAUUAAUAAAAUUACAGCUCUUUUGAAGUCUCAACCCCAAGAUAUGGAAUAUUUAUUUGUCACAACCAUCAUGGAGUUGAUUCAGAGUAACUUAAAAAAAGAAGAGAAUAACAUAUUGCCUGAUUAUAUUAAUAACUGGGUGCAAUAUGAAGCUGUUGAGCAAAAGUAUAUUAAAAACUAUGGCACCUUUCAACAAGCUUUAUGUUAUUAUGUUGAAGAUCGAAUUGUUCCAAUUCUUUCUUCUAUUAUAUCAAAUAUUGAUAGCUUUGGUAAUUUGUCAAUACUUUUUAAACAGCCAAGCUAUACAGAUUUGUGGCUUAACAUAUUUUCAAAAACAAAUUGUUCUAGUAUUCAAGUUUAUAAUGAGUCAGAAGUAUCAUUUCAAUGCAAAUUUCCAUUUUCAAAUAGACUCUGCCAUGAAAUUGAACUUGUGAUCAAAAAUGUGGUUCAGCCAGAUGAUAACUUCAACAAACAUGAUUAUAAAUUGAUAUAUGAUACGUUAUCAAGUUUGCCGAUGGCCAGUUUAACUCUUGGAUUGUCAAAAUCUAAUGUUGAUGAUUAUAUUUAUGAUUUGGUUCGUCUUUUAUUUCCUUAUCAAACAGAGAGAUCUUAUGAGGUACUAGCAUUUGGUUUGGUUUUUUUUGGUAAAAAUGUAGUUACUGCAAGGAGCAAAUUUUUUAGCUCAUUAAAAACAGUUGGUGACUUAGAUAAUAGUAUUUAUGAUAUAACAGCCAUCCAUAUUGUUUUGAACACAAGAGUUAUUCAAGAAAGAAUUGGAAAUAUGGCAUUAAUACUUAGAAAUCAUCCAGAAAUUAGUGAUAUGAUAUCAUUGAAUUCACCAAUUGAUAUUGACAUUCUUAUUUUGGAAAAAUUAGUGUCUAUAGUUAAUCGUUUGGAGAUGAGUCCUUUUAGUAUGAACAAAAUAAAACAUUUGCAUUUUUUAAUACAAAACAUUCUUGAUAUAAAGUUUGAGGGCUGUGGUUCAUUGACAACUAGAAAAAUCAGUGAGAUAAGAGUUCAGUGGUGCAAGCUUCGGAUUUGUGAAAGAUUUUCAGAGUUUGUAUUUCAUCCUUCAUCAUGCUUUUGUUCUCAUCAAACUGGUUUGCUUCACUUGUUUAAAAAGAGUUUAGAUAAACUAGAUGAUGAUAUGCUAACUAAAGAUUCAUGGGCAACAGUUGAGAACUUUUUAAAAGAAGAUGCAAUAAACUUUUGUAGUGACUUCAACGACAACUUGAUUUAUAGAGAUUUAAAUAAAUGCAUGACAUGUGAUGGUAUUAGUGAUGGUAAAGAUAUUGAAAUUCUUUUACCAUGUUGUAAACGCAACUUUACUUUAUGCAUUCAUCGCAUUCUUUUUAAAACAAAUAAGUGUCCAUCUUGUAACGAGGUUUUUGAAAAAGAAGUUAUUUUUAAAGAAAGUUUACAGCGAAGACACAUGAUCUUUGAAAGAGAAGAAUUUAAAAAACGAUGCAAUUCUUUUUAUGCUGAAGUUGUCACAGAGUUUUAUUUUGCUAGAAGAAAUUUUAAUCUAAUAGAAUCAGAUGUUUCAAAAAAAAUUUUAGAAUUUGUUUUUUCUGCUCCAGCUACUUCAAAUUUAUUAUCAGAUAUUUCUAAUGUUGACUCCACUUCAAUUAUUUGUUCAUAUUUGUUACAACAGCUUAUUCAAAGGUCAUAUAACGAUGUUGAAAGUUAUUUACAAGAACAUAUUCAAAGAUUGUUUGAUAAUGAAAAUAAAUCACAGCUUCUUAGCGCAGCAACUUUUUUUGUUUACUGUUUUGAGGAUAAAUUGCAACUCGAACACUUUGUGUUAAAGAAGAAUAGUAUAAUAAAUGCAUCUUUUCUUGAUGCAGUAUCUGAAGGUUUGCAUGACAUUCAUGACCUUGAAGAAAAGUUUACAUUAGAUAGCUCAAACACUAAUCCUAAAUUUCUUGAGAGUAUAGCUUCAGCUCGAUUAUUCUUGGGCUACUCUGCAGAUAUCUUAUAUUCAUGGUUUGCUAAAGAAAAUAAAGAUAUGCAAUUAAAAAAAAAUUUCAAUUCUUUUUUUGCAACAUUGGGCAAAUUUCUUAUCAAGUACAAAAACACUUCUAUGCAUAUAUAUGUACUGAAACAAAUUGUUCGCAAGAACGGGGUUGAAAGCCUAAAGAAAAUUUUAAUGGAAGUUGAUGCUGAUUGGCUUGUAUUUGAAGAAAAAGAGAAUUAUAUAGAAAGCUAUGACAAGCUCUUAAUUUAUGGUGAAAAUUAUAAAAACCUCUACAAUAGCUUGGUUACUAAAGUUUUGGAAGAUGAUCAAUCUGGUCUUUCUCAAUUAGAAACAGAUAUUGAAAAAACAAACUCAGAAACAAUGCUUUGGCUAGCAAUCCCUAAAGCAAUUCAAAAUCUACACAAGUUUCAUGACAAUAUUAUAUCCAGAGUGCAACAUAGAUCACAAAUACAGAUUUGCCAAUCACUUCUGAAUAACUUUAAAUCAUAUGAACAAUUUUCUGACAUCUUGUAUCAUUUUUGGGUUGUGGUAAACAGUGGCAGACCUGCUGUUGAGCUGUUUUCACUUCUAGUGAUGGAUCCUCAGAAAGUUAAAAAUUGGUUUUUUCCAGCAAUGCCAAGUGACACUUUUGCAGAGGUUUUUGAUCUUAACAAAACAGACAAAUUUUCAUCAUUUGCAUUUUAUACUUGUCCUCAAGGUCAUCCUUAUGCGAUUACAGAAUGUGGUCGUCCUUGGGUUACAGAUAAGUGUCCAACAUGCUUUUUGCCAAUUGGUGGUAAAAGUCAUCGUCCAGUUGAUGGAAAUCAAGCAGUUGCUUCAAGAAAUGACUCUACAAAGCCUGGUCAUUGUUUGGGUUUAUCAUCUGAGCGUAGUACGUUUUCUAUUCCUCAACGUGGUUUGACACCUGCUUCUGCCACUCUACAAACCUUACUUAUAAAUCUCUCAUUAUUUAUUUCAACUUUACUAGGAAAUGAGAAGGAGGUUUCUGAAUUAGUGUAUCCACGAGUUUCCACACUUCAAUUGAAAACUUUUUUUUUGGCACAUUUAGAAAAAGAUUUUGUUCUUUUGUCUAAUAUUAUUGCAAAAAAUGACGAUGAAACAAACACUGUUCUGCACUUGUUAUUUAAAUAUUUAUUAGAUUGUGAUUUACAAGAUCAACUUCUUGAAUUGAGAGAUAAAGCAUCACGCAACCAGUUUGAGAACACUUUUCAUCAAGCAGUUGUUCAACCAUUUUUUUGCACUUUAAAUGAUCAGUUUGAAUCCUACAACAAGUGUUUGUUGACAGAUCAAUGUAUAACGAACAGUCCUUUGAUGAGACAUAUUUAUGAAAUUGAUGACAAGGACAAUAAUAAGGAUUCCUCUAUGACACUUAAAAAUCCACAACUUUGGUUUUACAGACAAUCAGUUUCAAUUGAAAGUCUUAAAAAUUUUGUUCAACUUAAAAUCAAUGCUGGUGCUGCUAAAGACAUUCCAAUUCUUUUGAUGAUUUUAGAGCAGAGCUUCAAAUAUUUCUGCAACAUGAGUUUAACUACAAGCUAGACAAACAAACUGCUGUUGACAAAAAUGUUAAGCAAUUUUUAACCGAGUUUCCAAAAGAAAAUCAAGGUUUAUUACAAAAGCUGUUUAAAUGUUUUAUUAAAGCAUGGAAUGAGUCACGUGUUCAUUUUACAGCAAGGCAAAUGAAAUUAGACCAUAAUCUUCACUCCAUAAAACUUGAUCUCAAUAGUAAAUUGGCGUACUUCAUAAGUUCAAGCUCUGAUCAUGGCUUGUGUGCUGCCAUGUUAAUGGAUUUUCUUGCUUUUAAACAAAAUGAACUUCUGUUAGAAUGUC